UACGUAGGGUGCAAGCGUUGUCCGGAAUUAUUGGGCGUAAAGAGCUCGUAGGCGGUUCGUCGCGUCGGCUGUGAAAUCCCGAGGCUCAACCUCGGGUCUGCAGUCGAUACGGGCGGACUGGAGUACUGCAGGGGAGACUGGAAUUCCUGGUGUAGCGGUGAAAUGCGCAGAUAUCAGGAGGAACACCGGUGGCGAAGGCGGCUCGCUGGAACGUAACUGACGCUGAGACGCGAAAGCGUGGGGAGCAAACAGG
rnacentral:rRNA from 1 species